ACCUGGGUGGCUCAGUCGGUUGAGCGUCUGACUUCAGCUCAGGUCACGAUCUCGCGGUCCGUGAGUUCGAGCCCCGCGUCAGGCU
rnacentral:tRNA from 1 species